GAACGAACGCUGGCGGCAUGCCUACCACAUGCAAGUCGAACGAGACCUUCGGGUCUAGUGGCGCACGGGUGCGUAACGCGUGGGAACCUGCCCUUAGGUUCGGAAUAACUCCCCGAAAGGGGUGCUAAUACCGGAUAAUGUCUUCGGACCAAAGAUUUAUCGCCUUUGGAUGGGCCCGCGUUGGAUUAGCUAGUUGGUAGGGUAAAAGCCUACCAAGGCGACGAUCCAUAGCUGGUCUGAGAGGAUGAUCAGCCACACUGGGACUGAGACACGGCCCAGACUCCUACGGGAGGCAGCAGUGGGGAAUAUUGGACAAUGGGCGAAAGCCUGAUCCAGCAAUGCCGCGUGAGUGAUGAAGGCCUUAGGGUUGUAAAGCUCUUUUACCCGGGAUGAUAAUGACAGUACCGGGAGAAUAAGCGCCGGCUAACUCCGUG
rnacentral:rRNA from 1 species